AUAACGAAACAGGGUUUAGAUUUCAGGUUUACUAAAGAAGCAGUAGAAUUUAUGAAAAGAAUGUACAAUGGCUUUAUUUAAAAUACCCUGCAAAUUGAUUGUAGAAUCUUGCAGCAAUUUAAAAGCAUUGGAUAGUAGCUUUGCCUAACAGCAUGGAAAAUCUAUAUAAAGGUUAUGGACAAAGGUUAUGAGAGUAACACUAAGUGUGGAAUAAAGUUAAAAUUAGUUUUUGAUUACCUAAAUCAGACAUUGGAUCAACUUAACAUAACGGAGGGAGUAAGAAGGUUAUAGGGAGAAGUUGCUAAUAUCUGACCUUGGUU